rnacentral:rRNA from 3 species
AGCCUGAUGCAGCGACGCCGCGUGAGGGAUGACGGCCUUCGGGUUGUAAACCUCUUUCCGCAGGGACGAAGCGCAAGUGACGGUACCUGCAGAAGAAGCACCGGCUAACUACGUGCCAGCAGCCGCGGUAAUACGUAGGGUGCAAGCGUUGUCCGGAAUUACUGGGCGUAAAGAGUUCGUAGGCGGUUUGUCGCGUCGUUUGUGAAAACCAGCAGCUCAACUGCUGGCUUGCAGGCGAUACGGGCAGACUUGAGUACUGCAGGGGAGACUGGAAUUCCUGGUGUAGCGGUGAAAUGCGCAGAUAUCAGGAGGAACACCGGUGGCGAAGGCGGGUCUCUGGGCAGUAACUGACGCUGAGGAACGAAAGCGUGGGUAGCGAACAGGAUUAGAUACCCUGGUAGUCCACGCCGUAAACGCGCUAGGUGUGGGUUCCUUCCACGGAAUCCGUGCCGUAGCUAACGCAUUAAGCGCCCCGCCUGGG